CGGGUGAGUAACACNUNNGCAGCCUGCCUUUAAGACGUGGAUAACAAUUGGAAACUGUUGCUAAGACAGGUUAGGAAAUUAAGAGGCAUCUUUUAAUUUUUAAAAGACCUUUUUCGAAAGGUAUACUUAAAGAGGGGCUUGCGCCACAUUAGUUAGUUGGUAAGGUAAAAGCUUACCAAGACGAUGAUGUGUAGCUGGACUGAGAGGUCGAACAGCCACAUUGGGACUGAGACACGGCCCAAACUCCUACGGGAGGCAGCAGUAAGGAAUUUUUGGCAAUGGAGGAAACUCUGACCGAGCGACGCCGCGUGAACAAUGAAGUACUUCGGUAUGUAAAGUUCUUUUAUUGAAAAAGAAAAAAUAGUGGAAAAACUAUCUUGACAUUAUUCAAUGGAAUAAGCCCCGGCUAAUUAUGUGCCACCACCCGCGGUAAUACAUAAGGGGCGAGCGUUAUCCGGAAUUAUUGGGCGUAAAGGGUGCGUAGGCGGUUUGAUAAGUCUAUAGNUUAAAUGCAGUGCUUAACGCUGUANCGCUAUAGAAACUGUCUGACUAGAGUUAGAUAGAGNCAAGCGGAAUUCCAUGUGUAGCGGUAAAAUGCGUAAAUAUAUGGAGGAACACCAGAGGCGUAGGCGGCUUGCUGGGUCUUAACUGACGCUGAGGCACGAAAGCGUGGGGAGCCAAACAGGAUUANNNNNNNNNNNNNNNNNNNNNNNNNNNNNNAAGNNUCGGGNNUCGACUCGGUACUGAAGUUAACACAUUAAGUACUCCGCCUGAGUAGUACGUACGCAAGUAUGAAACUUAAAGGAAUUGACGGGACCCCGCACAAGCCGUGGAUCAUGUUGUUUAAUUCGAAGAUACACGAAAAACCUUACCAGGUCUUGACAUAAUUUUGCGACAUUAUAGAAAUAUAAUGAAGGUUAUCAGAAUUACAGGUGGUGCAUGGUUGUCGUCAGCUCGUGUCGUGAGAUGUUAGGUUAAGUCCUAAAACGAGCGCAACCCUUGUCGUUAGUUGCGACCACGUAAUGGUGAGCACUUUAGCGAGACUGCCAAUGAAAAAUUGGAGGAAGGUGAGGAUUACGUCAAAUCAUCAUGCCCCUUAUGAUCUGGGCUACAAACGUGAUACAAUGGCUGUUACAAAGAGUAGCUGUAACGUGAGUUUAUGGCCAAUCUCAAAAAAACAGUCUCAGUUCGGAUUGAAGUCUGCAACUCGACUUCAUGAAGUUGGAAUCGCUAGUAAUCGCGAAUCAGCAUGUCGCGGUGAAUACGUUCUCGGGGUUUGUACACACCGCCCGUCAAACCACGAAAGUUGUGAUAAUACCCGAAAGCGGUCGCCUAACUUCGUUAGAAGAGGGAGCCGUCUAAGGUAGGAUCGACUGAGUUGGGGUUAAGUCGUAACAAGGUAUCCCUACCGGAAGGUGGGG
rnacentral:rRNA from 1 species